rnacentral:piRNA from 1 species
UGGAAGGACCUCUGAGGUGUCCCGUGGCUGU